CCUACGGGAGGCAGCAGUGAGGAAUAUUGGUCAAUGGCCGCAGGGCUGAACCAGCCAAGUCGCGUGAGGGAUGACGGUCCUAUGGAUUGUAAACCUCUUUUGUCAGGGAGCAAAGGGCGCCACGUGUGGCGCUUUGCGAGUACCUCAAGAAAAAGCAUCGGCUAACUCCGUGCCAGCAGCCGCGGUAAUACGGAGGAUGCGAGCGUUAUCCGGAUUUAUUGGGUUUAAAGGGUGCGCAGGCGGAAUGUCAAGUCAGCGGUAAAAUUUCGGGGCUCAACCCCGUCGUGCCGUUGAAACUGGUGUUCUUGAGUGAGCGAGAAGUAUGCGGAAUGCGUGGUGUAGCGGUGAAAUGCAUAGAUAUCACGCAGAACUCCGAUUGCGAAGGCAGCAUACCGGCGCUCAACUGACGCUCAUGCACGAAAGCGUGGGUAUCGAACAGGAUUAGAUACCCGAGUAGUC
rnacentral:rRNA from 1 species